AGCGCCGGAUUUCUCAACUGUCGAUCGAGUGACAAUCAUGCCUGCCUGCUUGACAAAGCCUUUUCGGUCUACCAAUAAAGGAAAAACGAUUGCUGGUGACACGAAAGCUGUGCUCAACGCUCUUUUUCCUAUUCCACUGCGCGUCGUGGUCUUUCCCUUGCUGGUUGGAUGACUACUAUGGACGAAGAGCACAACUACUUCCAGUCUCUGGUCGAUAAGUACCCAAGGAAGAGUUGCAGUGGGUAAAUCUUAAUGGCUGGCAGAAAAUUGGUUCGGGAUAUAUUACUCUCAACACAAAGUAUUUUUUAUCAGUUUACUUCCCAUCGGGGAGAAGAUAAAUUACAUAAGCCAAAGUAGUUAUGGAAAACAUCUCCAAUUUACAGCAAGUUAAAGAAAAAAAAAGAAGAGAAAAACAGCAGUUAAAAAAACUGGGCAUCUUGCUUCUUUCUUAUUGAAAGUUCUGCCGUU